rnacentral:lncRNA from 1 species
GUUGUCGAUCUUCCAUUGACCGAAUAUCGAUGCGCAGAUGCUCGAAAAGACUACGGACGCGAGCAUGUCGUGGCUUUAUGUUGACGUCAUGAUUGAUUUUCCUUACAGUGACUGGGAGUUACUUGUAUGUUAUUUGAUAUAUUAUUGCUUGGCCGCGAAUGUUCAACGACUAAAGAUCGGCCUAGUGUGGCAUUAGCUAUAAUCAGAUUUUUUUUAUGUUUGGCACAAUUAGUAAUCAUUCAGCAUAAAUAAGGUUCUCGAUGGUUCCUAAGCUAGUCGAGUAUCAACAAAAAUACACACACAAAAAGAUGUUAAAAUGCUCAUCGAAUUACACGCAAUAAAAAUUUGAUGUUGAUACUGAAAUAAUGCGCACUAUUUUUAAAAUUUCAAAAUAAUAAAAUCAGUUAUAAAAAUAAAAUAAAGAAGAGGUUGUUUUAUAGUUCUGCGAAAGAAAAAAAAAAGUUGCUGACAUGGUUAAUUUAAUGAGAUACAACAAUAAUAUCCAACAUAUGUGUAAUCAAUUUAUACUAUAUUUUAUUCUAUGUGCCAAAUAUAAAAAAAAGAUUAUAUAACCUGUUGGCAUAUAAAUUACAGUAGACACUUAGCAGAAACUAAAAUUACGCAGUAAUAGAUUGCACAGAGUAUUUGUUAUUUUAUGCUGUGUUAUUUAGAUAAAGAGACAUGCCAAGAUUUUUUAUUAUAUUUGCCAAAUAAAAGAAAAAAAAUCUGCCUUUUAAAAUUUUUCAAACGAUUUGAAAAACAAGAUUUUCUAAAAUGAAUAAAUAACAACGCGAAAUCGAACACCUGUAAUUUAUGUCUGUGAUGGUUUUUGCGGGUCGUCACUGACGACUGAUCGUGUCUUUUGACACAAAAAGUUGUUCAUAGGUCUGGCGAUAUCGGGCAAAAUACACAAUGUUUCGUGAUGCCCUGUGUUGUAGUACAAAUGCUGCUUAUUGAAUUCACCGUUUAGUUCGUAAAUCCAUAGACUGCGGGGUUGACGUCACUGAUGUGCAACCUAGUCUAUACCUGUGUAUAAUGUGAAUUCCAAAAGUAGGCCUAAGGGUCUGGUUUGUGCUUUAUGUGUUGUACUUCGCAAGAGAUAGCGUACGGAGUUAGUAGAAAACAGGCGUAUUUGUUUUUGUGAAAUGGAUUCGUCGAUAUGUGUGUAUGUUUGUUUGUAUUCUAUUAAGCUUUAUCACCGCAGUAUAUGAAUCAUUAGAUAUGUUGAGAUAAUGCUACAAUUAAUUGGGACAAUGACAGUUAAAAAAAUAUUAAUCGAUUUAUUGUUUUAAAUAUCAACAUAAUUAAAAAUAUUUCACCAUUUUGAAUAAUUAUUUUCGUUAGUUUUUAUAUUGUUAGCAUUAAAUUCGUGUUCCUUUCUAUCUCUUUGUUGACAGAUCAAUGUUGCCAUAUUGCUAAUACUUUGACGUUGGCAGGUGCACUUAUAAUCGAAUUUACUGUUGAAACUCUAUUUAAUUCUAAUUUUGCGUUGUAAUAUAGCGAACACUACACGUAUAUGAUAAAAUGUUUUCAUUGGCAUAUUUUAUUUUUAUAAUUAAAAGUUAUUCCUUUAAUAUGUUUUAUGUAAUACCUUCCAUGUUUAGCAGAUCAAAAUAUUUAUUUCUGACGUAAUGAAUACUAUAAUGUUGUAGUACAAUUUAUCUGUUGCGAUUCGUUCGUCUCGUCUAGAUGAUAUAUUUAGGAUAUUUAGGAAAGCUAAUAUUUUGUCUAGAAAAUAAGAGUAUGCCAUCUUUUAGGUACAAUAUGCCUGGUGUGCCAGUUUUGCUUUUGGUUUUAUAUAUUAAUACAUUUACUAAUAUAUAUAAUAGAGUAAAUAAUAGAGGCAUUUGCGUGGGUAAUGUAACAGCCAUAAUUAUGCAUUUAAUAAGGUAUGCUUUUAUAUUUAUCAUAUUUCACCUAUGUAUGUAUCAUGUUUUGUAUGGGAAGUUAAUAUAUGUUACAAAUAUUACCUAGAAAAAGAAGUCAAUAUCAACUUGACGGUAGAAAAAUUGAAAAGGAUUUGUAUUUGUUUGUGCUAAUAAUGUUCUAUGAGUAAAUAUUCUAACAUCAUUUAUGUAUAUAUGGUAUUUAAAAAUGUACUGUAAAAGAUUAGGAUAAUAAGAUUAAAUGCGUUUUGAACUGAUGUGAGAAUAGUGAUAUGAUUUGUAAACUCUUCGAUGAAUAAGUUUUUUUUUUUAUUAAGAUAAGAAUUAUAUCUAUGCAUGCUUCAUAUUCAAAAAGAUUUUUCGUAUAAACAAAAUUUCGUGGCAGCCACGAAUUAUUCUAUUUAUUCCUCUAUAGAUUUAGUUCAAUAAAUAUCGUAGCUGAUAUUGUUGUAGAGCACUUGUAGAAAUACCAAUUUUUUCAUGAUUUUGCAGUACAUAUUUAUAUAUCAUAUACAAAGGUAACCAUUAGCACAAGCAGCGCAUACUGAGCUGUAUGGUUGUUUUCGCAGGCGGCGCUAAACGUGCUACACGGCGACCUCACUAACUAACUAACUUAAGUUACGUACACAAAUAAGGCGGCCGGGCGGCGGGAGUGCGGUGGGCGCUGCCAUGGGCGCUAUGAACCAGAUGCCGCCGCACAUGCGCCAGCAAGUGAACCAGGCAGUCGGGCAGGCAGUCACCAACGCGGCCAUCAACGAACUCAGCUCCGCCUUCGCAAGAUUCAAUCGUCCGGUCCCGAACGUGCCUCCCAAGUUGCCCGAGCGACCGCAGAAUGGACGGCCAUUUUGAACACGCCUUCCUGUUGCCGCCUUCUUAUUAGAUGCAUUGUAUAUAAAUCUCUCCUUUUAAUUUGUAUAUGGCUAAAUUUAUUUAAUGCUUAGUAUGUACGAAAAUGUAAUAGGUAUUUUUUAUUUGCGCCCUAUUCAGAAAUUUUACGCCUAAGGUGUAAAUUAAUAUUUAUUCGAAAAUGAAGUCCUAUAUUUUAUGGUAGCUAAAUAGUUAUCAAUUUGUAAUAUGGGUAACUUUUCAAUUACAACGCUAUUUCUUACCAUUUCUAUAGACACGUGUACUGAUGUAUUAUGUAUACUGGCGAGUUAUUGCAUUGACCACUUAUUUUAGGUAUAGUAUUAGAUCCCACUGCUUGAUUAUGCUCAUCUAUUUUUUUUUUUUUUUAUCAAAGUGCAUUCUUUAUUUAUAAAUUAAUAGAGGGUCCGCGUAUCUCCUCUCAAUGUUCUAAACCUUAUUUUUACCCAAUUACCUAUUAAAAGUCCAGGUAAUUUGAUUAAUUUACUUUUGAAAUUUAAUGACGUUAAUGUUUAAAUGUUACACAUAAAAAUAUACUUUACAUGUGUAGUUUUUUUUUGAGACUAUAUUUUGAUAGACAACGGGGGAAAACGUAUUAUUUUAUAUAUUAUUUGUAGGAAAAAAAAACAGAUGAGUGUUGGUUAUCAUGCAGGGGGAGCUUAGGCUAUUAUAACUGUCUUGAAAAUGAAAAAUAAACUUAUCCAAAUGCUAAUUAUGUGUAAAAUCUUUGUCAAUGCUUAUUGUCUUAAUUACUAAACAUGUUUACUAAACAUAUGAAAAAUAUAAUUUCAUAUUACAAUGGUCACAAGCUAUAGACAAAAUAAGGGCAUUCUAUUGUCACCUAAUAAAGUAGGCAAACUGUACAAUAUUUUGUGUAUACGUAUUUUUGAUACCUAUUUCGUACAGUGUGUACAUAAAUAAAUACAUACUUGACCAUCUUAAUUGAAUAUUGUUAGAUACAGAAUUAUUCAUAUUUUUGUAUUCAUUCAACUACACUGUGAUAUAUCGUAUUUGGUAAGUGAUAACGAAUUAUGUAAACAUACGAUGUAAUUGAAUGUAAUUAUCAUAUUUGCACUAAAAAUACACAAGUCGCAGGGUAGUGAUGUGUAUAAAUAGAGAAGACGUCGUUAUAGGACACAGAUUGCAUUAUUUGUUGCCUUAUUUACACAUGUCUAAUUGGAUUUAACUCCAGAUUGGAUAAAAAGGGCACUUUACGCGAUUCGUAUAACCUGUCAAGUGGGAGCGUAAUAUGAACGACCUUGCACAGGUUUGCUAAUGUAACAAAUGAAUCGCAUUAUGAUUUGUAUAAAGUGGGAUUUUAAACACAGUAGUUUUAAGAUCAGUGACUUUGAAAUAAACGAGGACAUGGCGUUCAAACGCCACGUCGCUAUAAUUUCACAAUUUUGAAUGCCGCAAGAUAGGUUCAGUUUAAUGUAGGGAUGCGGCCUUAGUUUUUUUUUUCAAUAAAAAUAUUCUAUCUUUAUGUCUAAAUCUAGAAAAAAUAUAAUUGGAUUUAACAAUGGCCAUUGGUCCACUAAGGAUUUUUAUGUAACAUUUCUGUGUUAACAUAAAAUUUACAUCUUUUUAUCGCAUUUUCCAUUUGUAGCCCAUAAUAUAAUGCAUAGGAAUGUAUUUACCACCGCUAUCAUAUUAAUAUGUUAUAAUUUGACUUUAUAUUCAUAAGUAAUUAAUUCAGCAUCAUUCGUGUUAUAUGGUAUUUACAAUUGUUUUGCGUGAUCAGUAUCAGAAACUAUACCUGUGCAUGCAAUCUCUUUUUAGCAAAAAAAAAAAAUGCCACUAAAAAAAUAUUAGAAACGUUUUAUACGUUCCAUGUCAUAAUAAAGAUAAUAUUUGAUAAUGAAUGAAAAGCGAAAACAUACCGUGCAAUAAGGUAACUUCAAAAGACUUAAAAUAUGAUGCUGAAAGGUUGAUGACGCAGGUCUUUGAAUGUUUCUUUCGUCCUUCGUACUUCCUAAUAGUUUUUUUUAAUAAUAAAUAGGCUUACAGCUGAAGUCUCCGAGGUGGUGAUAGGUGCUCAAUAAUAUUUAAAACCCUGUCAGCACACCGACUUCGCGAUCGCGAACGGCAGUAGCGAAGCGAAAUGCUGGUAACUAGCUCUAUUUGCAGGACAAAUAAUGAUUUGCUUUGUCCCUUCAUUAUCACCGUUCGCAGUGCCUGUGUGCUAACGGCGAAAAUUGCUCGAAUUUCGUUGAGCAUAUCUAAUUACAACAGAUUCAUAAGUUAUAAGUUUAUUUUUGAAAUUAUUUACGCUACAUUUUUAAACAUUGCGUUUAACAGGUGACGUAUUUAAGUGACUUACAAGGAGGUUCUCAUUUCGUUUCUAAUUUGUCUUGUGUUCUUCCGAACCGAAUAUGAACUGAAUUUGAUAUUUUUUUUGCUACUGAUAGGCUUAUUAACUCUAGCUAUUAUUUUGCAAAGCAAAAUCUUAUUGAUAAAUGUACAAAUAUUAUAAAGCACUAAAUGUAGUAUAAAUGUUAUAUAACUAUAACAAUAACCUCGGCAAUAUUGUAUUGUUAACGUGACAAUAGCUAAUUAAAAUGGAAUUAACAAUAUUGUUGUAUUGGAAUGUAUAAUUAUUAUAUAUACAAAAUAGGAAUAAUAAUCCGAAAUUCAACAUUAGUAACUGGAUAUGCACAAAACUAAAUAACUUUCCGUAGAGAUCGAUUUCUUGCGAACUGAUCCUAGAUGAAAGUUGUUUAGUUUUAUGAGUUGAACUUCGAAUUGUUACGUUUCCGUUUAUAUAUGUACUUGUAUUAUUGGUAAAAGUGAAUAUUGUAAAUCACUGUAGUUGUUAUUGUACUCGUAUCGUGCAUCACAAGGAGUAUUUGAAUGGUGUUUGUAGUUACUAUGUUCGACUGAUAUUGUGAUAGGGUAAUAGAAUGCUUGUGAUAGUGAGGUGCUUAUAUUGUGACAUGCACCUUCUAAGAGAUUGUAACUUUUAAUAAUCGUGUUAUUGUGGCAUUUAGUAUUAUGGUCUGGCGUGUGGAUUUCGUUCAGAUAAUUUGUUGAUAUUUUUACCACCAUAUACUUAUUCGUAGGCCUACUGAAUUCAGCAUGUCUACAAAAUAUAAUUUUGAAGCAAGUACUAAUAAAAAAUAUGUGUAAAAAAAAGAGAUUUGCUCUAAAGAUUCUUUCCGUCCAGAUUUAAUUCUCCUUCCUCGAUUUUAUUAUAUAUAUGAUAUUACUGAUCUGAGCAAUGAAAAUGUUAAAUGGAUUAUUGUAAUCGAACAUGGUUUAAUCCUUAUUUCAUGUAUUUUGCAUGUAUAUAUUUUUUUUGUCAAGUGUCGGUUUGCACUAUCAUUUUAAAAUGCCCACUAUAUUGUAACAGGCAAGCAAUACAACUAAUGGAAAAUGUUAGACAUGCAGAAUUCAGGGAAUGAACUCAGAAUGAUGCCAUUGGCGUGCUUCAUGUGUUGUUAUUCCUGAAAUUUAGUGUAUGUUAGUAGUAGGAUUAUUUCUUUUACAACGAAACAAUACAGCACCUAUGUCCGUUUGUUUAGGGCCCCCUCGUGGGUCUUUGGUGAGGUAUACAGGGAGGGUGUGGGUAUAAAUGAUUCAUGAAAAGAUUGCAAUAGGACCACGAGGGAUAGUAAAAUCUAUUUUAUCUACUGGUAGGAUAAAUUAUUAGGACCACGAGAAAAGACCUAGCUCGCGGAUACGGCUGUAUAGUGGCGCACGCGCUUUCCUGCCCGUCUAUGUAUAUCUCUACGCACCUGCGGAGUGACGUAUUUUAUGUUCUUUUUUAAUAUG